AUUGAACGCUGGCGGCAGGCCUAACACAUGCAAGUCGAGCGGAUGAAGGGAGCUUGCUCCUGGAUUCAGCGGCGGACGGGUGAGUAAUGCCUAGGAAUCUGCCUGGUAGUGGGGGAUAACGUCCGGAAACGGGCGCUAAUACCGCAUACGUCCUGAGGGAGAAAGUGGGGGAUCUUCGGACCUCACGCUAUCAGAUGAGCCUAGGUCGGAUUAGCUAGUUGGUGGGGUAAAGGCCUACCGAGGCGACGAUCCGUAACUGGUCUGAGAGGAUGAUCAGUCACACUGGAACUGAGACACGGUCCAGACUCCUACGGGAGGCAGCAGUGGGGAAUAUUGGCCAAUGGGCGAAAUCCUGAUCCAGCCAUGCCGCGUGUGUGAAGAAGGUCUUCGGAUUGUAAAGCACUUUAAGUUGGGAGGAAGGGCAGUAAGUUAAUACCUUGCUGUUUUGACGUUACCAACAGAAUAAGCACCGGCUAACUUCGUG
rnacentral:rRNA from 1 species